rnacentral:rRNA from 1 species
UACGUAGGGGGCUAGCGUUGUCCGGAAUCAUUGGGCGUGAAGAGCGUGUAGGCGGUCCGGUAAGUCCGCUGUGAAAGUCGGGGGCUCAACCCUCGAAUGCCGGUGGAUACUGUCGGGCUAGAGUGCGGAAGAGGCGAGUGGAAUUCCUGGUGUAGCGGUGAAAUGCGCAGAUAUCAGGAGGAACACCUAUUGCGAAGGCAGCUCGCUGGGACGUUACUGACGCUGAGACGCGAAAGCGUGGGGAGCAAACAGG